CCACCAUCUCACAGGUUGUGGCAUUUACCAGCCAGGUUCGGGUUGCCAAUACUAGCAGGAGCUUUCCCUUAAUUCGGUGCUGGUUGAGAUAUUUUUAAUAGCUAAGUCUUGUUUUUCCCUACAAGACUGGGAAAACUGAAGGAGACGAAUGGCACAAAUAUGUUUAAUCUUUUUAGAUAGGCAGGUUUUAUUUUGUGGCCUCGCUGGGCGUGCGGGUGCCCCUCGGGCGGGUUGCCAUCAGUAGGGUUGGGGGCUUUCGAAAGAAAGGCAGAACUUUGCCCCUUCCGCGAGUCCGAAGGUGGAGGCGGCCGCGGCAACUGUGAACUUGGCCGCCAAACAGACUAGCAGCACCUUGGGAAAGGGAUUGAGGGGCUGGAACCGCAUUUUCCGGGGAGUUUCUCUCCUCGCCACGAAGGAGACUGUAAUGAAGUGGGAAAGGACCCAAGGCAGAGUGGAUUUCGGAGUCCAAAGAUGCCGCGGUCCCCAAAGGAGUUUGCGGACCUGGCCCCCUCGCCCUGGCCUGGGUGCACAUCAGAUGUCCCACCAGAAAAGCUUCUAUGAACUGGAUCCAUUCGGUGGUCUGGCCAUUACCCCUUUUUCUCCUCUUUCCCUUCCCCUUUUCUGGUCCAAUCUGUUUGAUAAGCUUAUUAAUACCUUGUCUCUUACAUCUGAGCCUUGUCUUUCAAAUCCACUACUGUUAAGCUUGGAAAGGGGGACAUGGCAUCUAGGUAGCUGACUAUUCCCAGUAUUGGUUAAUACAGGAUAAGACAGGACCGGUUUGUAGAUAUGCACCUCCUGUACUGGCCUGGUGAAGGACCGAGCAAGGGAAAAAGAAUUCCCUCCCUUGCUACUCCCCCUUGAAUCACUGACCUCAGAAGGUUACAUUUAACUUAUUGAUUGACACCAGAGUCCUUACUACAGUGAAUUGCUUUAUGAAGUAUGUAGAAAAAUACUGCUAUUAAAAGAAUUCUCUCCUGCAUCAUAAUUGCUAUUGUAAUUAUUGUAUCAUCAUUAUUAAAUAAGGGUUAUUUAAAUGAGUUAUUUUGUGCCAUCUAAUUCUUAUCAGCCACUGUGAAGAAAGGCGCACCCAGAAUAUUGUGUGUUCAGCUGUUCUACUCUGUAGCCCUUGCCUUCAAAGCAACCAAUCCUGGCAAGUCCCAUUACUUCUCCAGGCAUCAAUAUCUUCAUUUAUAAAAUAAGGAGAUAGGACUAAAUCAAAGGUUUUUAUCCUUUUUUUUUGCCAUGGACUCUUUUGAAAGUCUGGUGAAGCCUAUGGAUUCCUAAGAAUAAUGUUUUAAAAUGUAUAAAAUAAAAUAUGUAGCAUUACAAAGGAAACCA
rnacentral:lncRNA from 1 species